AUUGAACGCCGGCGGCAGGCCUAACACAUGCAAGUCGAGCGGAUGAAGGGAGCUUGCUCCUGGAUUCAGCGGCGGACGGGUGAGUAAUGCCUAGGAAUCUGCCUGGUAGUGGGGGAUAACGUCCGGAAACGGGCGCUAAUACCGCAUACGUCCUGAGGGAGAAAGUGGGGGAUCUUCGGGCCUCACGCUAUCAGAUGAGCCUAGGUCGGAUUAGCUAGUUGGUGGGGUAAAGGCCUACCAAGGCGACGAUCCGUAACUGGUCUGAGGGGAUGAUCAGUCACACUGGAACUGAGACACGGUCCAGACUCCUACGGGAGGCAGCAGUGGGGAAUAUUGGACAAUGGGCGAAAGCCUGAUCCAGCCAUGCCGCGUGUGUGAAGAAGGUCUUCGGAUUGUAAAGCACUUUAAGUUGGGAGGAAGGGCAGUAAGUUAAUACCUUGCUGUUUUGACGUUACCAACAGAAUAAGCACCGGCUAACUUCGUG
rnacentral:rRNA from 1 species